ACUGAAUUAUGCCUGGCAGAGGAAAGCUUGUGAAUUCUGGAUUAGGUCUCCGGCAGGUACCAAGAUUCAGCUGACCUUCGUCAAGAUGGCUAUGUUCUCCAGAUGCUCUGUGAACAGCGUCAUUGUAAAUAAAGAUGGUGACGUCGCUUAUCCCACGGAUUCCAGCAAUACAUUCUGUGGAACGGCCCUUCCACCACCAAUCACGUCUUCAGCAAAUGCAAUCAAUGUGCUCUUCUUCAGCACAACAGAUAGUAAGGUCUUCAAAGCCAAUUGGUCCGUGGUUGCAGCAUAAAACUCGAGAAUCCUGAACUACCGGCCUACCUGACAUCAGCAGCAUUUCAUCAACUUAAUUUUGAGAGUAAUUUUGAACUCUAAGGGUUAAUAUUACACCUAUAUCAUGAAAGAGUAACCCACUUUGAAACCUGAAAUGAUACACAUGUAACGAUAUGGCACUGGGCAGCCCAUCUUUUGGCCUGCUAUUUUAAUCAAAUAAAGGUAAUUGCAUCAU